UACGGGGGGGGGCAAGCGUUGUUCGGAAUUACUGGGCGUAAAGGGCUCGUAGGCGGCCAACUAAGUCAUACGUGAAAUCCCUCGGCUUAACCGGGGAACUGCGUCUGAUACUGGAUGGCUUGAGUUCGGGAGAGGGAUGCGGAAUUCCAGGUGUAGCGGUGAAAUGCGUAGAUAUCUGGAGGAACACCGGUGGCGAAGGCGGCUCACUGGCUCAUAUCUGACGCUCAGGCGCGAAAGCGUGGGGAGCGAACAGG
rnacentral:rRNA from 1 species